UACGUGAGGGGGCAAGCGUUGUCCGGAUUUAUUGGGCGUAAAGAGCGUGUAGGCGGCCAGACAAGUCUGCUGUGAAAACUCGAGGCUCAACCUCGAGCUGUCGGUGGAAACUGUCUGGCUAGAGUCCGGAAGAGGAGAGUGGAAUUCCUGGUGUAAGCGGUGAAAUGCGCAGAUAAUCAGGAAGAACACCUAUGGCGAAGGCAGCUCUCUGGGACGGUACUGACGCUGAGACGCGAAAGCGUGGGGAGCGAACAGGAUU
rnacentral:rRNA from 1 species